CCUACGGGUGGCAGCAGUGGGGAAUAUUGCACAAUGGGCGCAAGCCUGAUGCAGCCAUGCCGCGUGUGUGAAGAAGGCCUUCGGGUUGUAAAGCACUUUCAGCGGGGAGGAAGGCGGUGAGGUUAAUAACCUCAUCGAUUGACGUUACCCGCAGAAGAAGCACCGGCUAACUCCGUGCCAGCAGCCGCGGUAAUACGGAGGGUGCAAGCGUUAAUCGGAAUUACUGGGCGUAAAGCGCACGCAGGCGGUCUGUCAAGUCGGAUGUGAAAUCCCCGGGCUCAACCUGGGAACUGCAUUCGAAACUGGCAGGCUAGAGUCUUGUAGAGGGGGGUAGAAUUCCAGGUGUAGCGGUGAAAUGCGUAGAGAUCUGGAGGAAUACCGGUGGCGAAGGCGGCCCCCUGGACAAAGACUGACGCUCAGGUGCGAAAGCGUGGGGAGCAAACAGGAUUAGAUACCCGAAUAGUC
rnacentral:rRNA from 1 species